rnacentral:lncRNA from 1 species
UUUUUCUGCAACAAGACGCCUCUCUUGUUCUAUGUUUUGUCUCCACAAAUUACAAUAUCUGUCACUUUGCCUGCAAAACAAUUCAUCUUCUAUUUGCUCAAUGCUGAUCGAUAAGGGUUUCAUGGCAGUGGCUAUACAUCUCAAGAAGUGAGAAACUUCAUCUCUUUCUAUAAAUUUAUCUACAUGUGAUUUGUGACUAUUACUGUUAUAUGUCAUUAUUAUGAAUCUGCUUACUUAUUUAUGAAUCUUCUAGGGUUUUUUAUGACUUAAUUAGAAAUUUACAUUUACACGUGAAAAAACUAUACAAUUUUAUCAUUAUUUUGUUUAGUGGCUGCAACAAUAACUGCCCUUAGACUUUUAGAGUGUUGCUAAAUGUAUAGAUAAUGAUUUCAACUUUCAAGAUGUUGCUCUUGAAUAAUCACAGAGAAACAACAUGAGACCAGGAUCUGUUAAAGGGUCUGAUCUCGCCCAAACCAUGAGAAACAACAUAAACAUCAUCAAUGGCAAUGGGGAAAGUCCCAUGUUGUGCCUUUAUCAUUACAAUUAAGUUUUGUCUGGCAGGCUAAAUUUGAAGAUAUAACAUAUAUCUACUUAUGUGCCUCCUAACAUCUUAGAAUGGCAACGAAACAGAUCGUGGGUCGGACUGAGUUUGUAUAUAUCCAACCGUGAUCCCGAGGUUUAGAACCCAAACCUAAACUUGGUUAGGUUGAAAUUAAUUAUAUUAUCUCUAAAACCAUUAAGUUUCGUAUAACUCAAACCCGACAGAAAACAAAUCAAAAAAACAAUAAGGAAUAACAUUAUUUGGAUACUUCAUUAGGUGAGAAUUUAAUAUUAAGAGCCAGGUGUAAAUAAGGUCUAUUAGAUAAAGAAAAUAAAAUAUGUAACUUUACAUAUAUUAAUUAAGUUCGGGCGGAUGCGAGAUAUGAUAUUACUCAUACCAAACUCAAAUUUAAAAAUUAAAUUCGUGUAAAACUCAAACUUAAUCAAAUCAAAUUUUCCCUUUCAAAUUUGCAUUAGGUUUAGACAGAUACCUAUAAGUUUGGUUUCUGAUGUCUUCGAUUAACAACUAACUCAAGUUAAAAUCCUAAUUUAAAAUUAAUUUUGGUUUAUGGUGAAUGUCCAUAUUCAUCGGCACAAAGGAAAGCACUAAUUAACUCUGCCUACAUUAUAAUUUUAGAAGGAAAAAAAAAUUCAUAUCCCUUUUAAACUCCACAUUUUUUCUCAAAUUUUAAAAAAUAACCUUAUUUUAUUCAUAUUUUCCCAUCAGUUCACCCCAAGUACCAAACUCUGUUGUCUUGUCUUCUUCUCCAACUAAACCCCUCUCUUCGAUUAACUCAUCCUAAAACCUUCAUUUUCGUAUAUUAUCCUCCAACCUUUAACACACGCAUCAUCAUUUUACUUCUCUGUGGUCAUACUCAUGUACAACAGUUGUGUGAUCGUUAAGGUGUGUCGUUUUCUCAUAAAUGCAGGCCCCUCGUCUAUGAUUCUUAAGUUAAUUAGUUGUGAAAUUGUGAUAUAUGACAAUUCACUCUCGACUAAUUAUUCUUCCACUAUACACUCACAAAUACGAUUCUUCAUCUAUAUGUAAUGUAAUCAAAUACCGUCUUCCUCCCAUAAUAAUUCAUUUUAGAGCGAUACAUCUAUUUAUAUUUUAUUUAUUUUUGUGGGGACAUUGUAGUAAUUAACACCGACUCAUAGUGUGCAUUUUUAUGUGUGUCACUUACUCACUAUAUCACUGUCAACGAUCAUCAUAUGAGAUGGGUAAUUGUCAAUGGUUUAAUUAUUUUCGUUAACAAGUCAACCAUUUCUUUACUCGUUUGCACUUAAUUAAUUGCUGAUUUCAUUUCUUCUCAUUUCAUUCAUUAUUAUAUACACCUUAUUACAUUUAAUUUUUUUAUACGUACCAAACUAAUAGGAUACAUAGUUGUCAAUCAACUACUGCUAGUAUUAUACUUGUAAGUAAUUAAAGGGGUCAGUUUUAUUUAUUUAUAUUGCGUAUUUUGUGCCGAAAUAUGUAUGAUUGCGCAAGUAUGGAGCAUUAAAAGAGUCAUUAUUAGUAAAAUCCUAGUUGUGUCAAAGCAUGCAAUGUAUGGAAUACAUAUCACCCACUUAAAACUUAGUUAGGUCAAUAGUAUUGUACAACAAUUAUACUGUAAAAACAAUUUUAAGACGUUUCACUUGCAAUAAUAUUCGUAGACAAUAUUAUUGGACCGAACAGUUUUGAUCUGAAUAAACCAUUUCGAUUUGAUGAGACAAAUUUCAAAUGGUGGAACAUAAAAUGAAAAUUUUUCUCACUAUGAGAAAAAUUGCUCACAUUAUGAUAACCGACAUCCCAUUGUUGUCGGAAAAAGCUGAAAAGAUUUUCAUUCUGAAUGAGUUGUUUGAUGAUCUCUAUUGUUAUUAUAGUCCAUACAAGUCUGCCAAAUUAAGUUGGUAUGCACUUGGAAAAAAAUAUGGUACUAAGAAAGUUGAGACUAAAAAAUAUGUUGUUAGUCGUUACCUCAAUUAUCAUAUGACUGAUGAUAAAUCAGUAGAGUCUCAGUAGAUACAUAGAAUUGCUCGUGAAAUCAUCUUUAAUGAUAUGUCCCUAAAGAGUUAAACUCACAGAGCCUAUAAAUGUGUAUUUGUUAGGUAUGUUGUAAACAGCAAGGAGUACAUGUUUUAUGACCUUAACGCAAAAGUGAUCAUUGAGACUAUGGGAGAAAGCCUAUAUUUAUAAUAUAAGAUUUUUUUUCCAUGUUUCUCAUCUCUCCAAUGUGGGACUUAGAGUUGUUUUUUUAAACUCUUCCAUGUUCCUACUAAUGGUUUUCAACAAACCAAUUCUAAUAAUUCCCUACUUGAAAUUAAAAACGAUUUCCGAGAAUUUAUGUAGUCUCAAUAAGAUUGUGCAUAAACAAAUGUGUCAUGCGACUUGAACCUUUGCAUAGUGAGUAAGAUCCAGAUUUUACUAGAGUGAUUCGUAGUCUUGAACUCUAUCACCAACAUCAAACCACACAUAAUCAUUUCAAAGGUGUAUUAUGUAAAGCUUGUGCAUUAAAGGUCAUGCACGUCUAUCCUAUUAUAGUGAAUGCUCUAGAGAUUUAUGCCCCAAAAUUUCAUAGGAAGCGGUCUGACUUCCACAUUCACAUGGGUGAACCCAUCAAGAGUACUUCUGUAGCUUAGGUACUCCAUUCCAAUUGGAGUAUAGAUGUCAUUAAGAGUUUAACUCAUCCUUAUAUAUGCUGCAAGAAUCAUGCUUCUCAUAAUUUUAUAGCAUGUUUAUUCUCAUAUCACUUCACAAGUUGUUAUGACCUAUUGAACCCAUUUCUUGGGAUCAUCAGUCAGCUAGGUCGGGUUACCAUUAUGAGUGAUCCUCGUUCCAAGGGCAAUAAUCCUAUACUCUUAAAAGUAUUGUGGACUUUCUCUCUAGCCAGUCCUUUCGUCAAAGGACCUGCUAAGUUAUUGUCAUUACGUACAUGAUUCACUCUAAUGGUGUUGUGCUUACGACAUAUUUGUCGUUUCUUACCAUUAUAAAAGCAGUUCUUAGUUUUUUCAAUAGUCGCGGUACUGUCACAAUGGAUCAACACAACUGGUAUUUGUUUUUCUCAUAUAGGGAAUCUCUGCAAGCAAGCUUUUCAGCCAACUUGCUUCUUCACUAGUUGUUGUUAGUGCUAUCAUCUCAACUUCCAUAGUGGAUCAAGUUAAAAUAGUCUGUUUUUUUAUUUAUUAAACUCUAUAUAGUCUAUCUCAUCAUUUAUGCCUUCUUGCCAUAAAUCGGCAUCUAAAGAAGUCACAACUUCUUGGAAAAUUGAUGAAUUCUCCUCCAAUAUAUAGACAAUAUAAUCAGGUCUUUACUCUCUAGGAGUUGUUGCUCUUUUACUUCUUCUAUGUUCUAUUUCAAACAUUUCAUUUUUUAUCAUUAUCUCAUGUGAUUAGUUGAUGUGCCCCCAUUAUUCCUCAAUUUAAAAGGGAAUUUCUUUUUCAUUGAAAUCAACAUCGUUUAGAUGAUUGUUGAAACUUAGUUUGUUGAAAGCCAUUAGGGGGAACUUUUGGGUGUAAAAUUUAAAAAACUCACAAGUCCCACAUAGAAGAAUUUUGAAAAAAAACUCCCAAGUCCCACAUUGGAGAGAGGAACAUGGAAAAAAUCUCAUGUUAUAAAUAAAAGUUUUCACCCCUCAUUAUAAUUCGCCCCUAGUUGAAUGCGUUUUCAUUCAACUUUUUUUUCCUCCCUCAUAUUUUUCACUGAUGCAUUUCUGUCGCGGCCCGAUUUUUGGUCGGAAGACCGACCCUACGACUUGGGUGGAGACGAACUCAAUUUCUACCUCUCUCGAUUGAUUUGGAGUCGCCACUACAUUUUUUGCGGUUAAAACGUAGAAAACUCUAUGGUAAGCCCAAUUAGGAUAAUAUGGUCUUUAAGCAGAGAUUCUGAGCUCGGGAGUCGAUUACAGAUCGGGGAAGGUAUUAGCAUCCCGUCCGCCCGUAUUAAAACGGUACCCUAGCUAAUAACACAGACUUUUAUACCCUUAACAAUUAUUUAUUUAGAAUUAUUUAUUUUUACUAUUGAGCCUGACAAUAUUGACUUUGGUCCUACGUACCCCUAUUAAGGGGAUCAAGGCUUACGUAGUUCUAGUUCGAAAAUUAUUUAGCUACUUUGGUUGAUUGUUAGAAAACAUUGGUAGGUUUUAGAAGUAUUAGUUUAUUGAAUUGGUUAAUAUAUAAUUGUUUUGGUUCAAUGAGACUAAUAGUUCAGGAACGGUGUUGGUCGUAGACCUUCUCCUCAUUUCCGGGGAGUUAGAGACGACUCGAACCAUAACCUCCCCAUAAAAAUCCCAAUUUAGUCGGUAGAAUAAUAUUGGGUUAUUUUUAGAAUUAGGUAGCAAAAUAGGUUGGAGAAUUAUUUUCUAUAUAUAGGAUUAAUAGCUUAGAGACAACAUUGGUUGUAGACCUCCUUCUCGUUUCGGAGAAGUUAGAGACAACUCGAACCAUAACCUUACUAAAAAAAUUCCUUAAUUAAUUUGAUAAUAUAGUUUUCAAUUAUUUAUGCAUAUAGAAUUUGGUGAUAAAAUAAUUUAUUAAUUAUAUAUAUAUAUAUGGGAUUGAUAGUUUAGAGACGGUGUUGGUUGUAGACGUUCUUCUCAUUUUCGGAGAAGUUAGAAACAACUCGAACCAUAACCUCACUAUGUAAAUUUCAUAUUUAAGUUACCCGUAAUAUAGUGUUGCUCUAUUUUAUAAUUAAUUUAGAAUCAUUUACUUUAUAUGGAGUUAAAUGAAAGAAUGGUUUUGAAAUUUUUUACAGCUUUACCGUAUAACCUAAUGCAUUAUCAUUUAUCCAAGACUUUGGUUAUGCAUUGAAUUGGUUUGUUGGAGAUUAAUUAUAUAUGGAUUUAGGCAUGAAAAAGGUUAUUCAAAUAAUAAACAAAAAUCAAAAGGCAAGAAUAACAAAACAACAAGAACAGACUGUGGGAUACGGGUUUUAGAACUUCAAAAUCCCCAAAGGGAUUCCAAAUCCCUAAUUCCUCUCCUUUCUUCUUGCGACUUCCACGAACGAUGGUCCAGGUUACUAGUGUCGAUCUCAUCUGUUCUUCCGGUGACCAUGGCAGCGAGAGACGGCAACUAUGGCAAGGCGCGGUGAUGACAAGGGUGGCGCUUCGGUGGGUCACGUCCAGAUAGUGGUUCCAGAUUCGGGCUCUUACUCUCGACGGUGGUUCCCACCUAUCAUCGCGGUGGCUCUACAAAAAGAGGUAACCAUGGCCUUCGUUCUUGUUUCCAUUAUCUUCCUUCCUUAUCUUCUUUCGUCCUCCUUUACAGAUGGGUGUCGUUUCCGGCGAGCCCGAGGAAACUCUUUCCUUGCGUUGACAGCCCCUAAGGUUGUGAGGGAACUUGCCCCUUUCACGGCAUUGGGGCCAUUCGACCCCGGGUUUCACUAAGGUUACCUAAGGUUAAGAAACUUAAUCCCCCUUUAGCGUCAGGACGGGUUCAGUGGCUCAACGAUUUCCAUUUCUAUCUUGUUUUAAGGUUACAGCAAUGCACUAUUAGCUUUCAUUUUUUAUUAAGUUGAUAUAUAUUUCUGUUGAGACUGGUCUAUAUUUUAGCAUGAUCACUUAAAAAAAAACAUUUACGAACUAAGCAUAUAAAUCUAGUACAUAAACCAUAUAAAGCAGAAUAUGUUUAUUGAAGAUGCGUAUUUGAUUUGGGGCUCAGGGCACACAUAAAAUGUUGUUUUUUAUGGUUUUAAUGCUUACCUGAGUGUAUGUCCUUCUGAGUGUUGAUUCUUUAUCUAUCGAUGUUCUGCUUCGGUGUUGUACUUUCUGCCCUUGUUUAGCACUGUUAUAAUGUCCUCUGUUUUUUACGGUUGAAAUGCUCUCUGCGUUUACUGAGUGUAUGUGUGUCGCUUUACGCUGCUCGUGAAAUGUGAGCCUAUUUUUAGUUUGAUUUUUGUUGGAUGUAUGGAAGUAGUGCUCUGAUUAUAGUUGUGUAUAAUGUAUGACUUUUCUCUCUGUUCUCUGAACGUAUGUGUCUUUUGCUUUAUCUCUGGAAUGCUCUCUCUGAUUUUUCUUCUCUCUAUUGAUAGUUGUACGCCCUUUGUAGCUGUGUGUUUAUGUUGUACUGCCCUUUUGUUUUCUGGUUAUCCAUUCUGAAACUGCUCAAUAAUUAUUUCCAUUCAUGCUGAUUAUGAUUAUAUGUAACUGCUGAGAUAUUUCUGAAUUCUCACCUAAGAGAUAGGAACAUAUACCCUGACUCUUGCUCUUUUCUGAUUAUUCCUUUCAGUUUUGAAUAAUGCUCAAUGAUUACUAAUAAUCAUUUUACCACUAAUUACUCCAUUUAAAUUGAUUGCUGCCUAAUCCUGCUGUUUUGGAAUCCUUUUCUGAAUAUUUGCCAUUUAUGCCUACUGGAAUACAUAACUGAAAAAGGAAUAUGCCAACUGGUGAUGACUUCUGGUUUGCAUUUUUGAAAUUCUUAUAUUGUCCCAGUUAUUGCUGAUUUAUGUGCAUACGUAACUGUUGGAGAAGAUUUUUAUUUGCCAAUGAUGACCAUAAUUGGAGUAGAAUGGUAACUGGCCUUUAUCAUGUAACUCAUGGCUGAUUAGCGUGAUUGCUUUGGAAUAAUUAUUAUUUACUUAAGUGUAUGUGUAUGAUUUGCAUGUGUUACUAAAACCAUCUCUUCAAGUUUCUCUGUUGCGUUAUCUGUUCUGUUAUAAUUUCGUCUCUUGCAAAUGUAUGUAAAUUUGUGUUGUGUUGCAUUCUGCUUGUUCCAUAAAUUUCAUUGCCUUUUCCUCAAAUGUAACAUGUAUAAUCAAUUUUGUGUUAUUGGUGUUGGUCUUCUGCAUUUUGUUGGUGCGUUGCUCCAUGUGGUAUCCAUUAUGCAUAUAAUCGCUACAGGCCCUUAUCAUCAAUAUCAAAUCAACCUACUCCAUCACAGCAAGGAAAUUAGAUUUAGAUGCUGCAUUUUCUUGGCAAUUCUAACCCAUUCUCCAAUUUUGGAUCUUUUUGUUUCAUAUUUCUAGAUUUGUUUGGUCUGGUAAGAUAUGGUGGGGUAGUGGUGGAUGACUUGUGGAUUGUUGAGAUUUUUUUGGGUGAUUUUGAGUGAUACGAUGUUUGAGGUUUUGAAUGGCCAAUGCUAUUAACAAUGGUUGUUGCACACCAUUUUGCUUUAACCCAGUUAAGGAUGAUUGAAUUAUUUGGUUUAAUCAUGUUUUGAUUGUUUUAGCUUUCUGGGUGAAACUAAAAGCAAAUAUAUAUUUCCUUUGAUUUGCAGUGAUCUUUGCAUCGUGGCAUCCCAGGUCCAGGUGUAUACCCACGAAGAGGUGAAGAAUGCCACACUUGGGACGAUAAUUGAUGAUGCCAAUAGCUGUUUAGAUCAGGCACCGGUGAUCACGGAGGCAUCUAAGUCUUCCUUAGCAAUAUAUUUUUGUUAUAAUCUCAUUGUAUCCUAUUUCGUUCUUCCAUUUUUGAUUUCUUCUUGAUGCUCAUGUAAUAUUGUUUGUAUUAGGGGCGAAACCAGUGCCCGGUUCAUGUAAUUUCCAUAUUGAUUAUGAUAAUAUUUGUAACAUCAACGACAAAAAAUGCCCUCAAGAAUAACUUUGUUUUCACAAAUAAUUAGAAAUAACCCGAAAGACG